rnacentral:rRNA from 1 species
GAUGAACGCUGGCGGCGUGCUUAACACAUGCAAGUCGAACGGGAUCCCAGGAGCUUGCUCCUGGGUGAGAGUGGCGAACGGGUGAGUAAUGCGUGACCGACCUGCCCCAUACACCGGAAUAGCUCCUGGAAACGGGUGGUAAUGCCGGAUGCUCCAGUUGGAUGCAUGUCCUUCUGGGAAAGAUUCAUCGGUAUGGGAUGGGGUCGCGUCCUAUCAGCUUGAUGGCGGGGUAACGGCCCACCAUGGCUUCGACGGGUAGCCGGCCUGAGAGGGCGACCGGCCACAUUGGGACUGAGAUACGGCCCAGACUCCUACGGGAGGCAGCAGUGGGGAAUAUUGCACAAUGGGCGCAAGCCUGAUGCAGCGACGCCGCGUGCGGGAUGACGGCCUUCGGGUUGUAAACCGCUUUUGACUGGGAGCAAGCCCUUCGGGGUGAGUGUA